GAUUAGUCAGCUAUAUUUUCAACUGUGAAAAACGACUUUCUUUUAAAAGAUUGAUGUGUACAAGACGAAGGAUUAUAUAGAUAGAAAAUAUUACUACUCUACACCAGUACACUUAUCCUAACACAAAAAUAACAAUGAGGUUUCAUCAGUAGGUCGUUACUUUAAUUUUGCUCUUUGCCGUCUUCGGGGAUGUUGGUAAUUUCAUUAAUUCGGUAUGGAAUGGACAAGAAAUGAUUUCACCAAAUUCUGCUCUAAUAUUUUCUGGAGCAAAAGCUGUCUGGGGACAUGUGGCAAAGGCAGUGGUCCGAGGCGUGGCAAAGAGCAUGGCGAAGAAAGGGAAGAAGAAUGGAAGAAGUGAACACACCAAAAACCAAAGACCAAGUACAAAAGGAAAGCACGAAAAAGGACAGAGUAGAAAGCAAAAUGACCAAAACCGAGCAAAUGGGAAGAAACAAAAAGGAGGAAAAGAUGGAAGUAAAAAAAGGGGGAAAAAUAAGUUUAAAUCGAACGUAUCUUUGAUGAAGAAAUUGUUUAAAAGUUAUUAUAUACCACACAAUAAAAUAACACAUAUAGAAUAGGUUAUCAAGAAAACAAUGUGUCAUAAGAGUGUACUGUGGCAAUGUGAAAGGUUAGAACUUAAUAUUACAAAGCAACAUUAGCUCUAAACGAAGAUCCUUCAAGUGUCUAAAAUAAAGGAAGAUUUAACU